UGAGUGCGAGCUGCUACGGCAGCGAAGUUGGUGACGUCAAGCUUCCAAGAAAAGCCCUAUACCCGUUAAGGCAUCAUUGCCUGUACCCGAAACCGACACAGGUGGGGUGGUAGAGAAUACCGAGGGGCGCGAGGUAACUCUCUCUAAGGAACUCGGCAAAAUGACCCCGUAACUUCGGGAGAAGGGGUGCCACCGCAAGGUGGUCACAGUGAAUAGGCCCAGGCGACUGUUUACCAAAAACACAGGUCUCCGCUAAGUCGCAAGACGAUGUAUGGGGGCUGACGCCUGCCCAGUGCCGGAAGGUUAAGGAAGCUGGUCAGCGAAAGCGAAGCUAGCGACUGAAGCCCCGGUGAACGGCGGCCGUAACUAUAACGGUCCUAAGGUAGCGAAAUUCCUUGUCGGGUAAGUUCCGACCCGCACGAAAGGCGUAACGAUCUGGGCGCUGUCUCGGAGAGAGGCUCGGCGAAAUAGAAUUGUCUGUGAAGAUGCGGACUACGUGCACCUGGACAGAAAGACCCUAUGAAGCUUUACUGUAGCUUGGUAUUGUGUCCGGGCUCUGAAUGCGCAGGAUAGGUGGGAGGCUUUGAUCAACAGCUUGCGGGUUGUUGUGAGCCAACGGUGAGAUACCACUCUUUCAGAGCUAGGAUUCUAACGGUCACCCGUCAUCCGGGGACCGGACAGUAUCUGGUGGGCAGUUUGACUGGGGCGGUCGCCUCCUAAAAGGUAACGGAGGCGCGCAAAGGUUUGCUCAGGCUGGUUGGAAAUCAGCCGACGAGUGUAAAAGCAGAAGCAAGCUUGACUGUGAGACCAACAAGUCGAACAGGGGGGAAACCCGGCUUUAGUGAUCCGACGGUUCUGAGUGGAAGGGCCGUCGCUCAACGGAUAAAAGUUACUCUAGGAUAACAGGCUGAUCUCCCCCAAGAGUUCACAUCGACGGGGAGGUUUGGCACCUCGAUGUCGGCUCAUCGCAACCUGGGGCUGAAGUCGGUCCCAAGGGUUGGGCUGUUCGCCCAUUAAAGCGGUACGCGAGCUGGGUUCAGAACGUCGUGAGACAGUUCGGUCCAUAUCCGGUGCAUGCGCAGGAAUAUUGAGAGGAUUUCUCCCUAGUACGAGAGGACCGGGAGGAACGCACCUCUGGUGUACCAGUUAUCGUGCCAACGGUAAACGCUGGGUGGCCAUGUGCGGAGAGGAUAACCGCUGAAAGCAUCUAAGUGGGAAGCCCACCUCAAGAUGAGUAUUCCCAUGGCAUAAGCCAGUAAGGUCACGGGAAGAACACCCGUUGAUAGGCUCUAUGUGGAAGCGCAGUAAUGCGUGAAGCAGAGGAGUACUAAUAGACCGAGGGC
rnacentral:rRNA from 1 species